rnacentral:rRNA from 1 species
UACGUAGGGGGCAAGCGUUGUCCGGAAUCAUUGGGCGUAAAGAGCGUGUAGGCGGCCCGAUAAGUCCGCCGUGAAAGUCCAGGGCUCAACCCUGGAAUGCCGGUGGAAACUGUCGGGCUCGAGUCCGGAAGAGGCGAGUGGAAUUCCUGGUGUAGCGGUGAAAUGCGCAGAUAUCAGGAGGAACACCAAUUGCGAAGGCAGCUCGCUGGGACGUAACUGACGCUGAGACGCGAAAGCGUGGGGAGCAAACAGG